rnacentral:rRNA from 1 species
GUUAGGGGAUCGAAGAUGAUCAGAUACCGUCGUAGUCUUAACCAUAAACUAUGCCGACUAGGGAUCGGGCGUUGUUCUUUUUAUGACUCGCUCGGCACCUUACGAGAAAUCAAAGUUUUUGGGUUCUGGGGGGAGUAUGGUCGCAAGGCUGAAACUUAAAGGAAUUGACGGAAGGGCACCACCAGGAGUGGAGCCUGCGGCUUAAUUUGACUCAACACGGGAAAUCUCACCAGGUCCAGACACAAUAAGGAUUGACAGAUUGAGAGCUCUUUCUUGAUUUUGUGGGUGGUGGUGCAUGGCCGUUCUUAGUUGGUGGAGUGAUUUGUCUGCUUAAUUGCGAUAACGAACGAGACCUUAACCUACUAAAUAGUGCUGUUAGCUUCGGCUGAACUGGCACUUCUUAGAGGGACUAUCGAUUUCAAGUCGAUGGAAGUUUGAGGCAAUAACAGGUCUGUGAUGCCCUUAGACGUUCUGGGCCGCACGCGCGCUACACUGACGGAGCCAGCAAGUACUAUCCUUGGCCGAAAGGUCCGGGUAAUCUCGUGAAACUCCGUCGUGCUGGGGAUAGAGCCAUUGAAAUUAUUGCUCUUCACGAAGGAAUUCCUAG